UUAGAUUCGAGGGUCUCAUGGACCAGAGGCCUCGGAGUAGGGAGGAAGGGGAACCUGGUUGGGUGUUGGGAAUAUAAAGCCCCUUCAGAGGUCCAGCAGGCCAGGGAAGGGAGGCCUUGAUCCAGGGCAGCUCUAGGCCUGAGAGACCCUGUGCCCCUCUCCCAGGUCCUCCCCAGCUCUCGGCCAGGUGCUUUGGAGACCAGCCCCGGAGGCCAACAGGCCCGGGCCCAGGGACGCGCGGGGCCCCUGGGUCUCUGCAGGGCAGCCUCCCUGUCCCCAGGCCUCCAGUCCCUCACUUUCUGGACCAGAAGCUCCAGCCUCACCUGGACACCAGGCAGGUCGUGGGGCAGUUCGGAGGCCAGGGCCUGACAUCGGAGCUUGGGGGGACAAGCUGCGUCCAAACCCACCUUCUUGUGUGUGGGCGACCUGAGGCCACCUGCUGUAGAUCCGGGAGGAGCAGGGUGGAGGACUACAGGGGCAGGGCCGCGAGGCAGACCCCCAGGCAGGGGGCUAUGUGCCGGGUCCUCGGUGGGACCUCCUCAGUGGCAGUGGCUGAGGGACUGGGAUGCAUGACCAAGGGGCCCUUCUGUCCUCUGUGGAGGUCCCCCACGAGGCCUGGGGGAGCUGAGGGUCCCUUGCAGGCAGCUGGCUGGGCGAGACCCUUCCCCUAGGGCAGUCCCUCCCCCAUGCGCUCUCCCUGCCCUCCCACCGGGGAGGGUGCACCCACCAGGGUGUCCCUAGGCUCUACUUUCUGUGCCUGCCUGGCCCUGGCCUUGUACAGGAGGGGCACUGGGGCGGGGGCUGAGGCUCUCGUUACUCCGGGAGGGUGGUUGUGGUCCCAGUUUGCCUGGACUCCCUCGUGCAUAGAGAGCCCUGAUCCAGGAGCCCUCCCUCCUGGGCACACAGGGAUGCUGGCUGCCCUAGCGGACAUCACCACAGCGCUUCAGAGGUGGUGCCUGGCGCCGCCAUUCACUGAACCAGCCCACAUUUCAUCUACAGGCUCUUCUGCUGGGGCACCUGCCGCCCUUCCUUGCUCUCGCCCCAGAGCCUUGCUCCCCUGGCUGGGGUGUGUCCGACACCCUUCCUCGCCUGAGUGCUAAGGCGGUACCAGGCCUGCCCACCACCAGCCGCCCUGUGGGAGAGCAGGACCCCAGUCAUGUCCUUACAGGCAGCAGGCGGCCAGGCCCUUCCUCUGCUGGGUCUCAGUCAGGACUUGCGCAUGUGAAAGCACGGAGCAGCUCCACUUUGGGGAAGCCAGGAGCAGAGAUCCUGCUGUGAGCCCGUGUCCCCGGGGGCAGUGACCCAGAGGAGACUCUGCAAUGCCACAGCUGAGCGUACCUCCACGAGUCCCUCGUCCCUCACAUCAGAGCCUCCACAACCAGCCGAGCGCUGGCUGGGUGGGCUCCUGGGGGAACGCUGGCCCUGCGAAUGAUGGAGAGAGAGCCACGUGGGGGGGGUUCUCCUCGGGCUUCAGGCACAACUUCAUUGACUCAUUCAUCACAAACACGCGCUGAGCCUCCACUCUGUGCCGGGAGCCAGGCCCAGGGUGGAGACGAGCACCCGAGUCCACUGACCGGGGCAUUUGCAAUCCAGGAGAGGCCACAGGGUGCGAGUGAGCAGCCUGUUGAGGGGGCCGGGCUCUGGGCGACGUAACGAGGUGCCAAACAGGGCUGGCUGGUCAGGGAGCCGGCCUGUCUGGGCUUCAGGUAGACACUGGGGGACAGACCCGAGCCCAACCUCUGGAGUGAGGGUCUCCUGCUGCGCAGCCUGAAGCAGAGCCAGGGGCUGAGCCAGCUCCGGACAGCGGCUCCGAGACCCGUGUGCAGACGGGUCAGCCUGGGGUGGCACACCUUCCUGGCCACCAUGUCGGAGCACUUGUCACGGAGCAUCGCUCCGGUGGGAGCUGACAAGUGCACCAGGUGGGGUUUGAGGAGCCGAUGGGGGAGAGUCCCGAGGGUGUCGUUGGAGGUGGGGUGAUGUGUUCACAGGGAGAAGGAAGACAGAACUGUGGGCACGGGGUGGUGGGCGGGCAGGGAGGGGCUCCUGAGAGGCAGGGGUCCUUGGAACCAGCUGUGAGCCCCUGUCCUCAGGGGGACACCAGCCUCUACUCGGGCUGUCUCUGAGCACCACCUUCCCAUCUGGCUUUGCUCCUGACUUGCCACGGUGCCUGGACAUGAGUGGUCCCUCCAGGGUGGUGACAGGCACCGCUGCUCCUCACCAGAACACCGGCCAGCGCCCCGAGGCCCGGUGCAUUUCCAGUCUCAGUUCUCCCUGGGCCCCAAGUGCUGGGUCCAGCCAAGGGGUUCCUGGUGGCUGCCCCCUCCCAGGUCCCCCUGCUCAGCAGCCCCCAGGAGGAGAGCCCUGAGGGACCCUGGGGAUGUGGCCUGUGUGUCUGGGGGCAGUGGGCAGGAGGCCAGAGGAGGGAAGACCCGUCCUUCAGGGACAGCACUGACCACAGAGGAAGAGGCCGGCUCGGGGGAGGAGGGGGCAGCUGCUUCCCCGACCUGUGUCCCAGGACUUGGCUCUAACCUGAGCAUCGGGAUCCCACAAAAGCAGCAGCCAACACGGCGAAGCUUCCAAACACCCAUGCCACCGGCCCCUGCUAAUUAGGGCUCGAUAACUGUGACCAGGCCUGGGGCCCUGGGGAGGGUCCACCCCUGGAGGGCUGGUGGGACCUUCUGCCUGUCCCACGGGGGGAUGACGGCCGAGGUUCGGCUACCAUCUGCUGGCCCCCUGCCCCGGUCAGUGCUGCCUCUGCACAGCCUGCCAGGGGCCCUGCAGGCCCUGCUCUCGGGGGGGUUUCUGCUGCUGAUGGGGUCUUGAGUGUGCCCAGCUGCCCUGGGAGCCCUGUCACCACAGGCAGUCCACAGGGACGAUGCUGAAGGGUGGGUCACUGCAGGGCUCGUUAGCCGCGUGCCUGACCAAGCUCAUGUGGCCGGGUGAGGGCUAAAUCUAUUUAGGGGAAAAGGAGGCAGUUUCUUUCUGCCUUAUCCACUUAACUAUUAGCAGCAAGGUCAACUGCACUUAGAGCAAAACAAGAGGCCCCACGCCUGGCCUGGCUGCUUUCUAUUACCCUCUCUGCCCCCCGGCCCUGCCAUUGUCCCAGCUGUCCCCGGCAGGCUCUUGGUGGCCUGAGGUUGUCCUGUGUCUGCAGGUCCACAGGAGCACUGACCAGAGGCCAAGCAGAGCCUGGGUCCCCAGGGGCUUCCAGGUGAGGGAGGGAUUUUGCCAGAUCCCUGAGGGCCGUGCUCUCGGUGGGGGAUGAGAGUUCUGGCCAGAGGGGCCGAUUCAGCAGCCCCUCCUUGGAGACUGGCCUCUGUGACUAGCCACGAGGACGGCACGCACAAAGGGCUGGCCCAAGGUGGGACCAGCGCUGGUGGGGUCCGUUCUCAGGGGGACAGUGCGAGGCCACCUCCUGAUGAGACUACUUCUCUUCAGCUGUCCUUGACCCCUGUGGGUCCCUUCCCUCAACCCACUUGUCCUGGGAACCUUCCCUUGGAAAUCUCACCCACAAGAGUCCCCCCUUGGGGGUCCCUUCUGCGAGCCACAGGCUCCUCCUGUAAGGUCAGGCCUGAGAGAUUUCCAGGCCACAUCUCAGUGUCCCUGGUCAGCAGGACAGGUGGCUUCUUAGGGAGAAGGAUAGAGCAGCCGGGUCAGGCUGGUGGGAGGGGGGGAGGAUGGGCUGGAGACCAGCACCGUCCCUGCGAGCCCCGCCUCUGCCCGUGGGCGCUGCCCGCCUCUGCCCUCGCCCGGCUUGCGACACAGCCCAGCUCUCUCCAAGGAUUCAGUGUGGCAGAAGUUUGCUUUAUUUUCCCACCUGAGCGCAGUUUAUUUUCAUAAUAUUAAAAAGAUCCAAGUCAACAU
rnacentral:lncRNA from 1 species